UUUAUAAAUAUAUAUAUAUAUAUAUAUAUAUAUAUAUAUAUAUAUAUAUAUAUUACAGCUGUUUUUUAAUAAUAAAUUAUUAAAUUGUGAUAUUUAAUUAAAAUAUAACUUAAAUAAUUUAAGAGAAAACAUUAUAUGUGAAAGAAUCAGCCUUAAAAUAGAGUCUGAUACUCAUGCGUUAGGGUUCUAAAGCGCCGCCCUUUACUAUAUCUCAUCGCCAAGGCCUUUCUUUACAGAUAAAGUAGUUAGGCAUAACAAACAGUGAGAUGGGAACAAAGGUAAAGAAAGCUACAAAGAAAAACAUGAAAAGGGUUUCCUCUAACAAGCGAUCUGAGGGUGCUGAGUUUUUGGUAAGCCGACAAUACUGUGUGCUCUCUGUUCAGUUAAUUUUUCCUUCGGUGACAAAGUAAUUGAAUGACAUAACUGUUACAAGAACAUUCAGAUUUUUCUAUAGAACAUUUCUUUUUUCAGCAUUUAUAUUUUGUUAAGAAAUUUUGUUUUUCUGCCACAUCGAAAUGAAACAUACUUUUUAACAUUCUGGACAACUCAGCGGAGUAAAUAUAAUUGAGAUAGUUUAAUUUAUUAGCAUUUGAUAGGGGAGUUUAUGCUGUGCUUCAUUGGAAUUGAAGAAUGAAAAAGAAGUAAAAGUCACUUCCAUGAUGUGUUUACUUGUUUUAAUCUGUUGAUAUUGUAAGAUGAUGUAGGACUAAUGGUAUGAUUGUUAAUGUUUUAGUUAUGAUUUUUUUUUAUUAUUUUGUCAAUUGCAAAUUUGUUGUAUUAGAUAAAUGUCAAAAAGUAGGUGCCACUCUUAUUAGAAGUACUUCGUGUAUUUUGAUUGUUUUUAAUUAAAUGCAAAUUUUCUUUUUCUUUUUUAUGCCUUGAAUAGAUUGUUACAUGAUUUUUCAGGUUACUAACUACCAAGAUACUAUACAAAAGAAUCACCUUUUGCGUCUUGAAUUUGAACAGUCUAUGCGGGAACUUCAACGUCUUCUUUCUGAGUUAGAAGAAUGGGUUGAAAGAGUUGGCGAUGAUGUAUAUGAAGAUGAAGAUUGAACUAUGAAAAGGGUUUAAGAGUGGUUAAAACUUUAUUUGUCGGUUAUGAGAGUAAAAGGGACUGAAAUAAUUAUGUGUUGUUAACGUAGUUUAGUAUAAAUACAUUAGUUUAUUAACAUUCUUGUUAUUAAGUAUGUUCAUGUUGUUGUGCCUUUCAUUUUGUUUCACUUUAUUCAUUUUGUUAUUAACAUUCUUUUCAACUUUUGUCAAUAUUAUGAAAAGCAUUGUGAACAACAAAUUCAACACACAUUUUACUA
rnacentral:lncRNA from 1 species